GAAGGUGUAGCUAGGUGGUAGAGUGCGUGCCUAGCAUGCACAAGGUCUUAGGUUCAAUCCCCAGUACCUCCA
rnacentral:tRNA from 1 species